AUUGCCUCAGUAACGGCGAAGUGAAGCGGCAACAGCUCAAAUUUGAAAUCUGCCCCCCGGGCCGAGUUGUAAUUUGCAGAGGAUGCUUUUGGCGAGGUGCCUUCCGAGUUCCCUGGAACGGGACGCCAUAGAGGGUGAGAGCCCCGUCUGGUCGGACACCGAGCCUCUGUAAAGCUCCUUCGACGAGUCGAGUAGUUUGGGAAUGCUGCUCUAAAUGGGAGGUAUAUGUCUUCUAAAGCUAAAUACCGGCCAGAGACCGAUAGCGCACAAGUAGAGUGAUCGAAAGAUGAAAAGCACUUUGAAAAGAGAGUUAAAUAGCACGUGAAAUUGUUGAAAGGGAAGCGUUUAUGACCAGACUUGGCCCGGUUGAUCAUCCAGCGUUCUCGCUGGUGCACUCUGCCGGUCCAGGCCAGCAUCAGUUCGCUCCGGGGGACAAAGGUUUCGGGAAUGUGGCUCCCUCCGGGGAGUGUUAUAGCCCGUUGCGUAAUACCCUGGGGUGGACUGAGGUCCGCGCAUUGCAAGGAUGCUGGCGUAAUGGUCAUCAACGACCCGUCUUGAAACACGGACCAAGGAGUCGUCUUCGUAUGCGAGUGUUCGGGUGCAAAACCCCUACGCGUAAUGAAAGUGAACGCAGGUGAGAGCUUCGGCGCAUCAUCGACCGAUCCUGAUGUUCUCGGAUGGAUUUGAGUAAGAGCAUACGGGGCCGGACCCGAAAGAAGGUGAACUAUGCCUGUAUAGGGUGAAGCCAGAGGAAACUCUGGUGGAGGCUCGCAGCGGUUCUGACGUGCAAAUCGAUCGUCAAAUAUGGCAUGGGGCGAAAGACUAAUCGAA
rnacentral:rRNA from 1 species